rnacentral:rRNA from 1 species
AACGAACGCUGGCGGCGUGCUUAACACAUGCAAGUCGAGCGGUAAGGCCCUUUCGGGGGUACACGAGCGGCGAACGGGUGAGUAACACGUGGGUGACCUGCCCUCAGCUCUGGGAUAAGCCUGGGAAACCGGGUCUAAUACUGGAUAUGACUCCAUGACGCAUGUUGUGGGGUGGAAAGCCUUGUGCGGCUGAGGAUGGGCCCGCGGCCUAUCAGCUUGUUGGUGGGGUGANGGCCUACCAAGGCGACGACGGGUAGCCGGCCCGAGAGGGCGACCGGCCACACUGGGACUGAGACACGGCCCAGACUCCUACGGGAGGCAGCAGUGGGGAAUCUUGCGCAAUGGGCGAAAGCCUGACGCAGCGACGCCGCGUGAGGGAUGACGGCCUGGUGU